UGCUGUCAAUCAUCCGAGUUUGACUCACAAUGGAGGCGAAGAGUCAGUGGAAACUCGAGUGCAGAGUUUGCUCUCACUGCCUCUUCACACAAGCAAGUGUAACAAAAAAAUUAAAAAACAAACAUGCUUUUGUGUAAAUCUGAGGAGGAAUGCUGCUUCUGACUGAAUCAUGUGGGUGAUGAAAUCUCAAACCAAUACAGAGAAGUACCUUCCCACACUGAACAACAACAA